UAUGGUGUGUGCUUUGAAUAGUCUCUAAAUGAAUGUCAGCAAAACGACUCUAAUAUGAAAAGUAAGAUCAGAUAAACUUUCUAGACAUAAGUACGUAUACCUCUCACCUAAUUUCUGAAUGAAAGGGUUGUUAAUUCGCUGGAGACCAAAUCAGCAAGAAGAUACCCAUGAGUUUUUGCUGGGGAUGUUUGAACACAUCAAGCUCUUACAGUUUAUAGUGACAAUUAAAAGAACAGAAUGGCAGUGUGCAGCAUGCCCAAGAGUUACGACUAAGCUAGUGUGAUACUUGUUUGGAUUGGCACCAUUAGUAAACAAGUGUUACCUAUCUCUAUAAAUCUAUCAAUGGCAAGCCCCACGUACCUCCCCCUAGGUGCCAUAAUUGCCAUAAUGAUGAGAAGUUGAAUUCCUACUGCUUACCGGCUUUUACACAUGUAGGUCAUGUGUUCACAUAGACGAGUGAGAAGGAUACAGCAAGCUUAAGCGCUUGGAGACAGAUUGCUUACUACAGCUUGCCAUCGGCAUAUAAUGCUGAAAAAUCAUAUUGAAUGAAUUGAAACAGUCACCCAGCCAAGCAGUCACCCAGCCAAGGGCCAGAGCAAGGGAUCACUUCAGAGUGUGGCAAAGAAAGAUGCACCCCUUAGUAACAGUAACAGUUCUCUUCAAGCUACCUUGUAGUUCUAUCUGAACAGUCAAAGAGUCAACCAGCCAAGAGAUUACUUUAGAGCUGUUAAUAGCUGUGAAGGAAUGCUGGACACCGGAAAGGUGGGAGUCCAUAGGCAGGCCAGGAGUGGAACUGCUUACAAUAUGAUGCCCUGUGCACCAUGUGGCUGAGCCAUCCUUAACACCAGUGAGCAGCUGAAGCGUUACUCAGAAGAAGACCCAGGUCAAAAUUGGACAUACUGAGACCUUUGAACCUUUGACAGCUGAAAGAGUGGAAACACAACAAAUGAAGCAAAAGCAAAAGCAAAAACACGAUGCUCAUGCGCACGAGAGAUUGCUUUGCGAAGGUGACCCCGUGCUCGUGAGGAACUAUGCUCGUGAGGAACUACCUCCAAGGGGACAAAUGGUUAGCAGGUACGAUUGCCAAGAAGACAGGGCCGGUUUCGUACGCGGUGACAAUGAGUAAUCGUAGAUACCACCAAGACCAGGUUCGAAAACAGGUUCGAAAAUUGCACACUUACCUGAUUCCGACACUGAUUCACUGAGUAGUGUUUCAGACACUGAAUUUGAAUCAUUUGCUUAGUCUGAUUUUUAAUUAAUAAAUUUUUUUGUUAUUUUGACAUGUGACAUGAUAAUAAUUAAUGUUAUAUCAAACGGACAUCUUUGUUAAAUCACGCAUAGGUAGUCCCAGUGAAUGCAAUGGGCUGACUAGUUCAGGAGCAACACAAUUAUCAUAAAAUGAGGUUAGCUUUGGUAGCAGUUUGUCUCUCCAGUAGGCCUCAUCGAAUGCAAUGUGUUGAACACUAAUCUACAAAAUCACACCAACUGCGCUCUCCUAAAGACAUUUGACCCUGCACUUGGGCAUGACUUGUUUUGAGUUGUAAACUUUUCUCCGAGUUCAAGGUACAGUAGAAUCCUUCAAUAUGACAAGCUUCAGGAGUAGGGACAUUUUACCUCUAAAAAUCCAUACGGUUCUAGAGUAUUAGAGGGGUUGUAUACUGCUCCAUCUGGUGAUGCACCUAAAAAGCCCCCGAUGAGCUUACAAUCAAUCUUGAUUACACUUUUGGUUCUGGUAGGAUAUGUAUUCCUGAAUCGCUAUUUUCUCGUUAGUUAGGCCGUAUGCGGUAGCUGGAGUAGAAAAGGUUCUUGGCUGUAUAAUGCGCAAAACCAAGUUAUCAGGAGGUCCAAACAAGGAGGCAGUUAAGCGAAACCUUCUCACAGAAAACCACAAUGGGGAAUUUGCCUGCUCACAAGUGUUCCUUUCCAUUUCACGGCACAUCUGUGUCAUUUCAUUUCAAGUGUCUUCUUAAAUGCCAUUACAGUAGCUCUUAGGUCACUAUCACCUGGAAGAUUCUCAUUACAAGGCUGUUGGGAUAUUUCACAUCGAAAUUGUUUAUCAAAUAAAAGUGAUAUGCACAGCUGUUCUCCUCGCAUUUUUUCCAACAGAGCCGAGAGUUGACUUGGCCCCGAUACUUUUGUGGCCUAGGAUCGAAAUCCUCCACAGAAAUCGAUUUCCUUGCUUUGAGUAUUCAUGCUUUUUGAAACAAGCACUUUUCCGAGGUGGUUUCCACUGGCAUGGGAGGGAUGUACAUGGUACAGGGUCAUUCUCAACUACACUCCCUCUGGAAGCGAGACUUGGAGCAUUCGGAUUAGUGCAUGCAGCAAAGCUGAUACAUGCGUACAGCUAGCUGAUUGUCUGAAGGGGGCUCAACUUUGACAAAUGCCAAUAGACUUAUAACUCACCCUGCAGGAAGUGGCACAUUCCUUCUCGGCGAAGCAAAAUGUAUGUGUUGUACACUCCAACUUUCAUGGACGGCUUUGUCUUACACUUGACAUGGGCCCAAUCAGGAUUUUUGGUGUUUACACAAAUUUCUUCCAAUCUACCAGAAGCCCAGUAAGUGUAGCCUCGAGUCAAUGCUCGAAAAGCACCAUGUUCACCAACACAUUCCCGUUGAAGAAAAAGUAGACGUGGGCCUAGAUUUGCCUACACCACAUGUACAAGAGCCUAAGGACUCAACGCCUGACCCUGUUGAGACCUAAGACGUUCCCUCGCCGGGAACGGAAACCGGUUAAACGGUUCGAACCCACAUGGAACUGGUAACUAUGUAUGUAUAAUGUUAUACACCUUCUUGUAGAGUUGUUGUUGUUUUUUGUUUGUUUUUGUGCUAGGGGGGAGGAGUGUAGUAGAUUACGUCAUAUAGUAGAUUACUCAUUCUAGACUAGGUUUUUGUAAUACUUUGUGCCACGUGUUCUGUUCAGUUCUGCUAUUGUGAUUACUUAUUGAUCGUGACACCACACUAUGAGUUCUACGUUGAUGUCCAGCCUCCGCAAGCAUCCAGUAGUGAUGUCACGACUAAUUGCAUUGCAUUCCAUUGAACGUGUAUGCAACUGGCCUAUUAUGUCUAAGAAAAUGGGGAGGCCUUCUUAGAGCUAACAUUAGAGGAUGUACUAACCCUAAACCUGAUCAAGACUGAACUUGUUGAUUUUAAUUUUAUUAACACAGCACAAAUAUUAACACAGCGUUUAACACUG